rnacentral:rRNA from 1 species
AGAGUUUGAUCCUGGCUCAGGAUGAACGCCGGCGGUGUGCCUAAUACAUGCAAGUCGUACGCACUGGCCCAACUGAUUGAUGGUGCUUGCACCUGAUUGACGAUGGAUCACCAGUGAGUGGCGGACGGGUGAGUAACACGUAGGUAACCUGCCCCGGAGCGGGGGAUAACAUUUGGAAACAGAUGCUAAUACCGCAUAACAACAAAAGCCACAUGGCUUUUGUUUGAAAGAUGGCUUUGGCUAUCACUCUGGGAUGGACCUGCGGUGCAUUAGCUAGUUGGUAAGGUAACGGCUUACCAAGGCGAUGAUGCAUAGCCGAGUUGAGAGACUGAUCGGCCACAAUGGAACUGAGACACGGUCCAUACUCCUACGGGAGGCAGCAGUAGGGAAUCUUCCACAAUGGGCGCAAGCCUGAUGGAGCAACACCGCGUGAGUGAAGAAGGGUUUCGGCUCGUAAAGCUCUGUUGUUGGAGAAGAACGUGCGUGAGAGUAACUGUUCACGCAGUGACGGUAUCCAACCAGAAAGUCACGGCUAACUACGUGCCAGCAGCCGCGGUAAUACGUAGGUGGCAAGCGUUAUCCGGAUUUAUUGGGCGUAAAGCGAGCGCAGGCGGUUGCUUAGGUCUGAUGUGAAAGCCUUCGGCUUAACCGAAGAAGUGCAUCGGAAACCGGGCGACUUGAGUGCAGAAGAGGACAGUGGAACUCCAUGUGUAGCGGUGGAAUGCGUAGAUAUAUGGAAGAACACCAGUGGCGAAGGCGGCUCUCUGGUCUGCAACUGACGCUGAGGCUCGAAAGCAUGGGUAGCGAACAGGAUUAGAUACCCUGGUAGUCCAUGCCGUAAACGAUGAGUGCUAAGUGUUGGGAGGUUUCCGCCUCUCAGUGCUGCAGCUAACGCAUUAAGCACUCCGCCUGGGGAGUACGACCGCAAGGUUGAAACUCAAAGGAAUUGACGGGGGCCC